AUGGAUGAUGAUCAAGCACGUGAACUUGAAGCCCUGGAGGGCGUAUUCAGUGAUCCAAGUGCAGAGUCGAUCAAGCUAUCUUAUGGACUCCUAAAAUUGAUUACAAAAAAGUUUUCAAAUGAAAUUGGUCGCGGUGGGUUUGGAGUUGUGUACAAGGGAGAUUUAAAAACCGGGGCAGUCGCUGUGAAGAUGUCCAAUGCGUAUAAGGUUACCGAUAAGCAAUUCAUGGAUGAGAUCAAGUGUUUAAAAGGCGCAAAUCACAAGAAUAUAGUAAGAUUUCUAGGCUAUUGUGCAGAUACCCAAGAGGAAACGAUGCCAUUGGAUGGAACAUUUGUGAUGGCAGGACAGCGGAAUAGGUUGCUCUGUUUUGAAUACGUUCCAAAUGGUAAUAUUCGACAGUAUCUUGAACAAGAUAAAUCUCAUGAAAAUCACUGGCCUACACGCUACCAACUGAUUCGAGGGAUUUGCGAGGGGUUGCAGUAUCUCCAUGACAAUAAAAUUAAUCAUCGAGACCUAAAACCCGAAAAUAUCAUGCUGGAUGCUCACAUGGAGGCCAAAAUUACAGAUUUUGGUCUAUCGAGGUUCUUAGAUCAAGGACAAUCCAAAAUGAUUACGCAAAACAUAUGUGGAACACCGCGAUAUAUUGCACCAGAAAUCAUAGACAAAGGCGAAAUAUCAUUCAAAUCAGACAUAUAUGCUUUGGGCAUUAUUAUCAUAGAACUAUUAGUUGGGAUGAAGAUGAUAAGUCUUGAGAGUUUGGAUGAAUCAUUAAACUUGCUGUUCUGCCCACGAGCAAGGAUGUGCGCCAAAAUAGCUCGAAACUGCACGAAUGCUAAAAGAGAUAAUAGACCUACCAUAAGUGAAGUAAUCUGUGAUCUAGAUGAGCUCGAAAGCAUGAUUCCAAAGUCUUUCAUAAAUCAGGUAUGUUUGAUUAAGAGUAAAUUACUCCUACAGUACAUUAACUCGCAUUUGCAAAGCAGUUUAGUCCAUUAA
rnacentral:rRNA from 1 species